rnacentral:rRNA from 1 species
GUCGAGCGGACAGAAGGGAGCUUGCUCCCGGAUGUUAGCGGCGGACGGGUGAGUAACACGUGGGUAACCUGCCUGUAAGACUGGGAUAACUCCGGGAAACCGGAGCUAAUACCGGAUAGUUCCUUGAACCGCAUGGUUCAAGGAUGAAAGACGGUUUCGGCUGUCACUUACAGAUGGACCCGCGGCGCAUUAGCUAGUUGGUGAGGUAACGGCUCACCAAGGCGACGAUGCGUAGCCGACCUGAGAGGGUGAUCGGCCACACUGGGACUGAGACACGGCCCAGACUCCUACGGGAGGCAGCAGUAGGGAAUCUUCCGCAAUGGACGAAAGUCUGACGGAGCAACGCCGCGUGAGUGAUGAAGGUUUUCGGAUCGUAAAGCUCUGUUGUUAGGGAAGAACAAGUGCAAGAGUAACUGCUUGCACCUUGACGGUACCUAACCAGAAAGCCACGGCUAACUACGUGCCAGCAGCCGCGGUAAUACGUAGGUGGCAAGCGUUGUCCGGAAUUAUUGGGCGUAAAGGGCUCGCAGGCGGUUUCUUAAGUCUGAUGUGAAAGCCCCCGGCUCAACCGGGGAGGGUCAUUGGAAACUGGGAAACUUGAGUGCAGAAGAGGAGAGUGGAAUUCCACGUGUAGCGGUGAAAUGCGUAGAGAUGUGGAGGAACACCAGUGGCGAAGGCGACUCUCUGGUCUGUAACUGACGCUGAGGAGCGAAAGCGUGUGGAGCGAACAGGAUUAGAUACCCUGGUAGUCCACGCCGUAAACGAUGAGUGCUAAGUGUUAGGGGGUUUCCGCCCCUUAGUGCUGCAGCUAACGCAUUAAGCACUCCGCCUGGGGAGUACGGUCGCAAGACUGAAACUCAAAGG